AAGAAGGUGGCAGAGUGGCUUUGUGGUUGGCUUGAAACCAUCUUACGGGGGUUCAAUUCCCUCCCUUCUUG
rnacentral:tRNA from 2 species